GCACUUAGCUGGCAGGGGAGAUAGGAUGAUCACCGACGUGGUCUUCCCAGGGCGAGGCUCAUCCACUGUACUCUGGAUGUGCCGACCCCUGUGAGUUCCCCAGAUGCGGGAAACUCAACAGCAUAGUUUGUGGUAGUGAGGGACUGCGUUCAUACUCUCCCCUG
ensembl:snRNA U1 U1 spliceosomal RNA